rnacentral:rRNA from 1 species
UGAGACAGGUGCUGCAUGGCUGUCGUCAGCUCGUGUUGUGAAAUGUUGGGUUAAGUCCCGCAACGAGCGCAACCCUUAUCCUUUGUUGCCAGCGGUCCGGCCGGGAACUCAAAGGAGACUGCCAGUGAUAAACUGGAGGAAGGUGGGGAUGACGUCAAGUCAUCAUGGCCCUUACGACCAGGGCUACACACGUGCUACAAUGGCGCAUACAAAGAGAAGCGACCUCGCGAGAGCAAGCGGNNCUCAUAAAGUGCGUCGUAGUCCGGAUUGGAGUCUGCAACUCGACUCCAUGAAGUCGGAAUCGCUAGUAAUCGUGGAUCAGAANGCCACGGUGAAUACGUUCCCGGGCCUUGUACACAC